rnacentral:rRNA from 1 species
GACGAACGCUGGCGGCGUGCUUAACACAUGCAAGUCGAACGGAAAGGCCCUGCUUUUGUGGGGUGCUCGAGUGGCGAACGGGUGAGUAACACGUGAGUAACCUGCCCUUGACUUUGGGAUAACUUCAGGAAACUGGGGCUAAUACCGGAUAGGAGCUCCUGCUGCAUGGUGGGGGUUGGAAAGUUUCGGCGGUUGGGGAUGGACUCGCGGCUUAUCAGCUUGUUGGUGGGGUAGUGGCUUACCAAGGCUUUGACGGGUAGCCGGCCUGAGAGGGUGACCGGCCACAUUGGGACUGAGAUACGGCCCAGACUCCUACGGGAGGCAGCAGUGGGGAGUAUUACACAAUGGGCGGAAGCCUGAUGCAGCGACGCCGCGUGCGGGAUGACGGCCUUCGGGUUGUAAACCGCUUUCGCCUGUGACGAAGCGUGAGUGACGGUAAUGGGUAAAGAAGCACCGGCUAACUACGUG